CUGACACAUGUCGGGUAUGAAAGGCCUCCUAACAAUACAGCAAAGAUUAGCACAGCCCCCGAGCUAGGAGGACACGCAAAUUUGUGAAGCAUUCCAUAUUUUU